rnacentral:lncRNA from 1 species
CUCUAGAAUCUGGAAAUUCUGGAAUAAGAAGUGAUCUACCGGACAUGGACUUGGUUGAGCUGGAAGUGAAUAUCCUGUUAAGCUGGAAUAUUCUGCUGAUAUGGAUUUUAUAUUCCAACACACCCUCCUCAAGAUGGACUAGGAGAUCCAUCUUGAAGAUUAAUGAGUGAAACAUGGAUGUAAAUACACUGCUCUUUUGUUUUCUGACAUGGCAGUUUGAGGAAUCAAGCCCAACACAAUCACAUACAAUACUCUCAUCGAUGUUUAUGGAAAAUCAAAGAGGUUACAGAGAUGGAAUCAGCUCUUGUACAAAUGCUUUGGUUGCAAGAAUGUGAACCGAAUGCAUGGACCAUGAACUCCACCUUGUGAGCUUUUGGUGGCAGGCUGGCAGCAGGCGAAGGGAUAUAAUGGAAAAGUGCUAUGAGAAAUUUCAGAGUGCUGGGAUUGAAUCGAACAUAAAAAAUUGAGCUCAAUUGGAAUCCAUUCCUUCUUCAAUUGACCGGUGGAAAACUUUCUGCAGAGGAGCUUUGUUUGACAUUUUUCCGAACACCUUGUAUGCACAUCAGAACUUUGAAUUUUCUUUGAUCAUAUACGAGUUGAAUCUCCAUGAUACAGUAACAUAUUCCAGUAUAAUCUUCAAUGACAAGCAUGAAACCUGCUAAAGUGAGUAUUCCUCUUCGGUCUCCACUGUGAACGCAUCGAAUUUGCAACUUCGAAUGUUGGUAAAUCGAGCUUAAAAGUUGUAGAAGAGGAUGAUUCUGAAUCCGAAAAUGACAUCUAAUUAAACUUUUAUCUCAGCAAUGGAGGUGAAAUUGGAUUAUAUGCAAAUUUGCUUGAGAAAUUACGUUGUCAAUCGGAACUCUGGGAGAAUGCAGCCACCAAGAGUUCAAUGCGUCACACAUAUUUUACCAAAUGAUGGCAGAGAACAGAAUAAUUCCAGCAAAAGUAUUUCAGCUUCAAUUAUCAUCUGGAGAUUGGAAGGAUCUGCCAUCACCGACUGAAAUCCAUUGUCCAAUUCUGUCAUUUUCAGGCCUAGACUUCCAGCUAUACAAUUUGAUGCAAAAUUCCACACAAUAGACAACAUCAGUACUGAUUAAUUGGGGCCAGAUUUGAGUGACGUGUGGAAAAAUAAAGCGGCAGUAGAAAAUUAGAAGAAACUAAAAUCUGGACUUAUUUUUGAUGAAGGAACUAAAAUCUGCUGGAAAUGAGACUUCCAGAAUUAUUCCAAGAUAGAAGAAAAUUAGAUCUGCUUCAUUGAGCAGAACACAGGAAAUGGAGAUGAAUUAACUCCAGAAAAAAUAGCAGCAGGAAGCAAAUAUUUUGCUCUGAUACCAUAUUAGGUUUAUUGAAUGAAAAACAAUGUAGUAAACUCCAUAAGGAGAAGAACAAAACACUCCAUUAAAGGAGGAAUUACACUCCAUGAUAGGAAGAACAAACAAUUUCAAAAUAGGAGGAUGAUAACAUUCCAUAAUAUGAGGAAGAGAAAGACACUCCACAAAGGAGGAAAGACACUCCAUAUAGGAGGAAGAAACCUCCAUGGAAGGAGGGAUUGGAG